GCAUGUUGAUGUGAAUGUGAACUUAAACGAGCAAAUAGUGAGUAUCGUAGGCCAAAAGAGAUCUAUAGAUGAUAUUAACUAAAAGUACUAGUGGCACCAUAGACUAUGUCAUAUUGGAGAGGACAGGAUAAAUAGACUGGAGAAGGAUGGGAUCCUUAGCUCUCUUAAUCUAGAGUUGUAUCCAGCUUGUGAAUCUUGCCUUUGUAGAAAAAUGACCAAGUUAUCCUUUGUAGGGC
rnacentral:lncRNA from 1 species